CUGACGAGGCCUUUACUGACGCUAAAGCUCGAAGGUGCGGGUAUCGAACAGGAUUAGAUACCCUGGUAGUCCGCACGGUAAACGAUGGAUGCCCGCUGUUUGCGAUACACUGUGAGCGGCCAAGCGAAAGCGUUAAGCAUCCCACCUGGGGAGUACGCCGGCAACGGUGAAACUCAAAGGGAUUGACGGGGGCCCGCACAAGCGGAGGAACAUGUGGUUUAAUUCGAUGAUACGCGAGGAACCUUACCCGGGCUUGAACUGCAGGAGAACGAUACAGAGAUGUUGAGGUCCCUCGGGACUCCUGUGGAGGUGCUGCAUGGUUGUCGUCAGCUCGUGCCGUGAGGUGUCGGCUUAAGUGCCAUAACGAGCGCAACCCCUCUCCGUAGUUGCCAUCGGGUGAUGCCGGGCACUCUGCGGACACUGCCACCGUAAGGUGCGAGGAAGGUGGGGAUGACGUCAAAUCAGCACGGCCCUUACGUCCGGGGCUACACACGUGUUACAAUGGGUGGUACAGAGCGUCGGUGCUGCGCAAGCCGCAUCCAAUCAUGAAAGCCAUCCUCAGUUCGGACUGGGGUCUGCAACCCGACCCCACGAAGCUGGA
rnacentral:rRNA from 1 species